rnacentral:lncRNA from 1 species
AAAAUGUUAUUAUGAGCACAAUAAUGUUCUGGACAGCAAAUAAUUAAGGACAAAUAUGAGCACAAUAAUAUUUUGAUAAAUUAAAAAAAAUUAUGAACAAAAUAACCAUUUCAUAUGCCCUAUUUUAUCUUAUCAAUUUGUCAAACCUAAUUUCAGCAUUCAAUUAAUAAUUCAAUACCACCUCAAUUUUUUUCCAAAAUCUGGAGAAGCAGACUAACCAAAGUUAAAUAGCAGCGGGAGAUGACGAUUUCAACAACGGGGAUGAUGAUUUCAGCUGCGGUGACGAUGUAAGAAUCGGUGACAGUGACGGUGGCAAAAUCUAAUUGGGGCCACAGAUCCAGUUGCUACAAAUUUGCGGCCGUGGUAGCGGGAUGUGGCAACAGCAAUCGGGGCACAACCACGGUAUUGUCACGCUGAGACGGUGGUGGUGGUGGUGGCGGUGGUGGUGGCGGUGGCGUCGACACUUGCCGUGGCUCUGGAGGAAUAGUGUCUCGAUGGGUUUAAAUUGAAAUAAAAAAUAG